UUUAAGACCCAAACCAGACCUGGCGCGUCUGAUUGAUCCACGCAAGUCCGGACAGGUGUGAACUUUCUGUGAGGACAUGCAAGACGCAACUCAGAAAAACUCUUCUAAAUCGAAUACAUCAUUUCCAACGGUUUGCACGGAAACUAUCGACAGCGAUGGAGCAUAAGCACUCGACGACCACUUUAUUAGGUACACCUGCACCAUCCAGUCAGCUCGGCGGCACUGAAAAUGCGUUGAACUUGUACCUUGCUGCAUGCACAAUAACAUCGAAACGCCAAUAAAAAAUGAAUUUCCAUUUCCCUAUUACAUAAAUACGAGCAAAAGAUUUCAUAGAAAGAGGCAGAAAAUAUCAGUCUAUCACAUGACUGAUCUGCUGCAAGUCAUCUUUCUAAUGUUGCGCAUACGCACGCCAAUUUCACCAAAUGAAGUGGAACAAAUAGUGUAAAAGGGGUCCUUGGUGAACAACGGAGAUCCGUUACUUCUGUUAACCUGAGCGCGUACGUAAAUCGGAUAGAAUCCUAAUCUAUAUUAGUCACAAAUGGAGUGAAUUGUUCGAAAUGUUUUACGUGGACGUAAACCGUGGACCACCUGCGUGGAGACAACCCGAAGACUCUCUGGCGCCGCCACCGUGACGUCACUGGAUUCACAACAAGACCCCUCGAGGCGCCGCUCAGGCGGUUGCCACGGCAACCACGGGUGUCCUUCUCAGCUGAUCGACCCGAGGUCCGAGCACACACACGCCCGCGCGCGCAUACCCCCCUCCACACACACACACACAUACAUAACGCGGAGCAGUGAUGU